rnacentral:tRNA from 1 species
CCGCCUCCGGGGCGCGCGGCAGCCCGUCGAUGCCGCCGGCGGCGGCCAGCAGCGCCGGCAGUUCGGCGCCGCUGAGGCCCG